CAUCGUUGGACGGCGGACGUUAAACUGAUGUGGAAGGAAAACUUGUGUUUACGGUUUGCUCCCUCUACUUUUCGUUACCCGUGGUUAUAAACAUGCGCAGCGGUCCGGCGGACAGGACUGCGUGAGGUUUGGAAUCUCCUGAAGAAAAAUGGACCCGAGGUUUGAGGACGAAGUGUCGUCGGUGGUGGAAGCCGCCAUCCAGGCGACCGUGUCCGCCUGCAGGGAGCUCUGGGCCAAAGAGGCGCCAAACACCGCGGACUGGCAGGAGCCCGGACUGGGACAGAUCCAGGACAUAGAGCGGUGUCUGGUCGUUCGGGUCCUCAAGGUGUUCACGGAGUUCUCCGCGGAGCUGUUCGAGGAGAUCGAGUCUCUGAAGGCCAAGGUGGAGCAGCUGGAGGAUGUGCUGCAGAGGAAAGCCGGGCAGCUGGAGCAGGAGCUGGAGGCCCGGGUGGGCCAGCUGGGCAAAGACAUGGAGCAGCUGGAGAAGGAGCUGAAGAGCAUCAGCGACGGCGGCCCCAAGGCGGACGGCGGCCCGGGACACAUCCUGCUGCAGGACGGGGCUCUGCUGGAGGCGGCUGACGAGGACCAGGACUCCACCCCCGUCCUUCCGUCAGAUUCAAUGGUGAGCUCCGAGGUUCUUCUGGGCUCCGACCCUGAACCCACCACGGCUCCACUGGUGUCGGUCAGCAGCGUCAGUCCGGCUUCAGCGUUGCUGCUGGCGGGAAGCAGACCCACUGUGGCCCAGAACAACAGAUCAACACCUGCCGUCUCUGAAAUGACAACAGCCUCCCAGCUCCUCGGCCCGGGGUCACCGGGGUCUCCGCCUCCUGUCGCCCCCAGUCCAGACUCCAGUACGGUUGGCGGUCUGGAUUCAGCACAAGAAAAGAAACCUGUGGAGAAGGCGUCUACACGGAGGACAAAGAGGAAAAGACAAAGUAACAUCAAAGCUGAAAAAGUCAUCUUAUGUUUUCUGCAUUAACCACACCCACUUCAAAUACCCGACCAAUCCAGCA
rnacentral:lncRNA from 1 species